UUUGGGGCUGUUUAUAAGGGUGUUUUGGAGGAUGAAAGGGCAGUAGCAGUGAAGAAAUUGGGAGAUGCCACUCAAGGGGAAGGGGAGUUUUGGGCUGAAGUAAGCACAAUCGGAAAAAUCUAUCACAUGAACCUAGUCAGAAUGUGGGGAUUCUGUUCAGAGGGUAGACACAGACUUGUAGUCUACGAGCAUGUAGAAAAUCUGUCACUGGAUAAGCAUCUCUUCAGCACGAGUUGUCUGGGAUGGAAAGAGAGGUUUAACGUUGCAGUGGGGACAGCGAGGGGUUUAGCCUACCUUCACCAUGAGUGUCUAGAAUGGGUUAUCCACUGUGACGUGAAGCCUGAAAAUAUACUUCUAGACAACGGGUUUGAACCAAAGAUUGCAGAUUUUGGGCUAGCCAAGCUGUCUCAGAGAGGUGGCCCCGGUUCAGGAGAAUUCUCUCGGAUUCGGGGGACUAAAGGGUACAUGGCUCCAGAGUGGGCUAUGAAUCUUCCAAUUACGGCAAAAGUUGAUGUUUAUAGCUAUGGAGUUGUGGUUUUAGAGAUGGUGAGGGGAAUUCGGCUUUCGAAAUGGGUGGGUGAGGAUGGCGAGGAGCAGGAAGCUGAGCUGACGAGGUUUGUCAGGGCAGUGAAAAGGAAAAUUCAAUAUGGAGAAGACAAUUGGGUAGAGGAUACAGUGGACCCAAGAUUGAAGGGGAAGUUUAGUAGGCAGCAGGCAACAAUGUUGGUCGAAAUAGGUAUUUCUUGUGUGGAGGAAGAUAGAAGUAAAAGACCAACAAUGGCCACCGUAGUCCAAGUUCUACUGGAAUGCGAAGGUGAAGCCCAAGUCCAAACCUUGGACUUGGAGUAAAUGUCUUUUUUUAUUUAUUUACUGAAUAAGUUAUGGGGUCUGUAUCUCCUGAACAAAUUACAUAGUUGUCAUUGGUUUUUCUUGUUUUCUUUUUGUAUGGGGUCUGUAGCCACUUCUUUGGCACUACAUCAAUUUGGAAUCUUACAAGUUCAUGGUCCUGGGUAGCAUAAAAUAUUCACCUUCCAUAUAAUAAUAGAAAUACGCUGAAUGCAGAUAAUACCAUUCUUUAAAAAUUAAAAAUCCAUGCGAGUGUGUCCAAAUUUGGCAAGUGGGGUGGCGACUAGGUGGGUCACAACGGUCAUUAUAUUCCAAACCCCAAUUAGUUAUUCUCAUGCUCGCCCACCAGUUCUUGUUUUUCUCUCUCUCUCUUUUUUUUUUUCUUUUUUUUUUUUAAAUCUUAAUUAUAUUUAAAAUAAAUAUAAUUUGUAUGUAAAUAAAUAGUAUAACUUUUUAUGAUUUAUUUUUAUAAGAUAUAUUUUCAUUUUAUAUUUGUUAAAAACUAAAAAAUAUUUUUUAUUUAAUUAUAUAUAUAUAAAUUGGAUGAGACAAUACAAUAUCUCAACUACCCCCAUCAAAAUAAGAAAAUUCAAAUCUAUCACUAAUUUUAUAUGUCUUAUCCGAAACUCAUCUAAUGUCACCUAAAGUACGUGUAUCCGCGAAAACAUGCUUCAGGUCCAUUCCUAAUUGAGACAUCUUUUUUGACGGUCUGUUCACCUCAAAGCUCAAUGUCUGACAACCAAGUGACCAACCAAGCACGUCUUCUCGAAGAAAGGACCAAGCAUUUUCUGAGAACAGCUUAAGACGGUGAGUUUAAGACCAAAAUAAUCUAUUUAUAAAAAAAAAUUGACAAGAAUAGUACCCAUCUCAAAAUAUUUGUCAAAGUAAUCUUUUGUAUCCACGUAAGCAUAUACAUAAAUUUUUUUUUUAAGUGUAAAAAAUCACCGUUGGUAACUCUGGUUUUAAAAGUUUCAAAAAUAUCAUUAAAACCAUAGUUUGUGACUUUGGUUUUACAAUUUCCUUAAAACCAUAGUUACUAACUGUGGUUUCAAAAUUAUUUUUAAUCCACCCCCGUUUGAAUGGUACUGUGAUUUUAAUAUUAAUUUUAAAAUAUUCUUUAUCAUAAUAACCAUAAAACCAUAGUUAGUUUCACACUUUACCAAAAUUUCUUAACGAUGUACCAAAUUUCCUUAAAAUUCGUUUCGGAGUGGAGAAAUCUUUUUACAAUUUUCCAUUAUCAGUUUAAAACUAUUUUUUUUUUUAUAAAUUAUCCUUAAUAAAUUUUUUCUUUAUGACUGUUUUAAAAUUAUAUAUAUAUAUAUUAUCUUUAUUUUUUUUUUCAUAUUUUCCUUGAAAUUUUGAGAAAAUAAUUUCGCUUACAUGCAUUUCCAUAAAAAUUUAUAUAUUUAUGGUAAAUAAAAUAUUUAUUUGUUUUAUGAAUUUUAUCACAUAUGAAUUAAAGAAAAUUAUUUUUAAAUUUUAAAGUAAUUAAACAAAUUGUUUAUAUUAUUUAAAAUUUUAUAUUUUCAUAUAAAAAAUAAUGUCAAUGAUUAUGAUUUUAGGUUAUUCCUUACUAAUUGUGGUUUAAUGGUUAUUAUGAUAAAAAAUAUUUUACCAUUAAAAUGGAGGUGGAUUAAAAAUAAUUUUGAAACCACAGUUAGUAACUGUGGUUCUAAGGAAAAUUGUAAAACCAUAGUCACAAAUUGUGGUUUUAAGCAUAUUUUUGAAACUUUUAAAACCACAGUUACCAACAGUGGUUUUUUACACUUAAAAAAAAAAUUCAUGUGGAUGCUUACGUGCAUACAAAAGAUUACUUUGACAAAUAUUUUGAAAUGGGUACAAUUCUUACCAUUUUUUUUUUUUACAAAAGGAUUAUUUUGGUCUUAAACUCCAAGUCAGCCUUACUCUCAAUGCUUAGCUUGCUAAGCUAAGAUGCACCCGACUUAGAAGCUUUAGAGGGCGUAGUAGACAACACUUAAAGAAUGAAAUCGUUAUUGCUCAAAGGAAGCUUUACAAGUGCUUUGGAACUCACUUGGUUGGUUGGUUGGUUAGGUUCUUGGGUAGUGCCUUGGCCAAAUGAGGCUUUAACUUAUUUAUAGGCACCUUAGGAAGUCUCUAAAAUCUUGAAAGGUUCCUUACAAAUCAAGAAUAAUCUAGAAGCUAUUACACUAGUCUAUGUACAAAGGAAUGUACAAGAUGACUUUUCAAGAUUCUAGAACACCCUACACUAUUCCAAUGUUCUCCUAGCCAAGUGUAGAGAUGUAUGAACAUCUCUAACCCUUUUUAGAAGUUUCCAUAUUCUUUACUUUGUAACUAAGUGUAGAUGUCUCCAAGGGUCUCUAGAAGCUUCUCACAUCUUAUAUAAGGCUAUAUGGAGGGUCAUUUGAAACAUCUUGUGACAUUAAGGCCAAACUACGUAAAUGUUGUGUAUUUUGUUUUCGUUUUCUUACUCUUUUAUGUAGGACCUCAGGCGCUAUCAACUCUCUAAAAAGCAAUUGUUGUUAGGAGAGUUGAUAGCGCCUGAAGUCCUACAAGUGGUAUCAGAGUCGAGGUCACGGGUUCGAACCCCAAGGGUAUUGUUGGGGGGGGGGGGGGGGGAAGAGAUUGUUGGCAAAUCGAAGGGUUGGCCACGUCCAUCAACUUCCCUUGUAUUCGUCGUGGGCGCUUGGGUGAAUACACUAUAAGGUUAGAGUAUGCACAUUUCCUAACAACAAUUACUUUUAGGAGAGUUGGUAGUAUUUGAGGUCCUACAUCUUCUCCUUAUUAUUAUUUUUUUAUCGUGGUUUUUACACAGCAAUAGUCACUAAUUAUGAUUUUAUGUUUAAAAAUAAAAAACCAAAACUGUACUUAUUAAAAAAAAUAAAAAAAAUCUUCGGUAACUUGAAUACCCAAGUGUGUCAAAUGCAGUAGUUUGAGAGUUAUUUUGAUUGAACAUAUACUUUUGGAUUUCUUUUUCUUUUAAUUUUAUGAAUUUUUUUUAAAUAUAUUCUUUUUUCUCAAAGCUUAGAACUCAGCAUGUCCUUGGUUACAUAUAUAUUCGUUUAAACUACAAACAUAUAUAGAUUAUAAAGUAUUAAGGAUGAGGUAUGAACAUAUAAAAAAUGGACAAGAAGGAACAAAUGGAAGAUUCAUGGUGGUGUGUGAAAUGAAAUCUCCAAUAGAGAUUCACUAAUUAUACUGUGAAUGCGGUGGUUUGAAAAUCCAAUAGCAUCCUCGUUGAGAAUGAUCAAAUUUUAGGGUUUUACCAAUAUUGUCCCCCUGGAAUAAUGACCAAAUUCUUGGCAUUGAAAUGUGAGAAACGAAGCCGGAAUGUGUGGAGUAUUAAAAAGAAGGGUGACUUAGCUUCAUUGCCAACAAGUCUUUAGAGGAACUUCGUCUAUAACUUACAUCAGAUAAGAAGAAGCCACGACUUCGUUAGUAGCUUUCAUCAUAUAACAAGAGUUCUUGAGGUAUAAUUAGGUAUGCCUAUGGCCGGCAUCAUUGCUUACGAGUCUUUCACGGGUCAGCGUAUGUAGCUAUCUUACAUAAAAUAAAGAUACAUCACGAUUUCAUGUGUAGCUUAAAUGAGGCAAGGAGAGGCCUUCACUUACGAAAACUUGUGUAAGGCAUUAAUAUCAGGGUGACGAUCCAGUUGUGUCAUUCCCAUUCCCACGUCAUGUAUACGGUGCAGCCAAAUUUGACAAAGGGUACCUUGAGACCCUUUCCCCGCUUAAAUUGGUUAAAUAUAAUUCAUCUCCAUUAAAAAAUCUUGGGACAUCCUUUGAUUGACAGUUCCAUGUUUGAAAAGCUGAUCAAGAUAUUGGAUACUUAAUUGGUAUAAUGCCUUCCUCCUUAAUUUCCUACGUGAAGUAGUGGAUAUAAAACUAACAUUUUCUUAACCAACCAAAGAUGCAUUUCUAAACCAAACUUGGAAAGACAUGGGAAACCUAUUUUCCUCCAUUCUUCUCAUCCUUCUUAUCUCUUUCUUCUUCUCUUUUACAACUUCCAAAACCCAGAACUUUUUGCAAAGAGGCUCCUCUCUCUCUGUCGAAGAUGAUUCGGACGACUACAUCACCUCCCCAGACAAAUCAUUCACUUGUGGUUUCUAUGGGAUGGGGGAAAAUGCUUACUGGUUUUCAAUAUGGUUCACAAAUUCGAAGGAAAGAACUGUUGUUUGGAUGGCCAAUCGAAAUAGACCUGUCAAUGGCCGGGGCUCCAGAAUUUCGCUGCAGAGAGAUGGCACCAUGAUGCUAAGGGAUGCUGAUGGCUCAACUGUUUGGGAGACUAACACUACCUCUACCGAUGUUGAUCGAGCAGAGCUUUUGGACACUGGAAACCUUGUUCUCAAGGACCCACGAGGUAAAAUUCUGUGGCAAAGCUUUGAUUUUCCAACUGAUACUCUUCUGCCAAACCAAAUCUUUACCACGAGCACAAAGCUGAUCUCUAUUCUCAGAAGAGGGGAUUUUUCUUCUGGUUACUUUAACUUCCUUUUUGACAAUGAUAAUGUCUUGAGAAUGAUGUAUGAUGGGCCUGAGAUUUCAAGCUUGUAUUGGCCUAAUCCUGAUUGGGAUGUUUUCCAAAAUGGAAGAACAAACUAUAACAGUAGCAGAAUUGCUGUUUUAGAUGAAAUGGGGAGGUUUCUUUCGAGUGAUCAAAUGUCUUUCAAAGCUUCUGACAUGGGUUUUGGAGUCAAAAGGAGGCUGACAAUGGACUACGAUGGAAACCUGAGACUCUAUAGCUUAAACCAUUCCACGGGAUUAUGGAAUAUAUCAUGAGAAGCUCUUAGGCAACAGUGUAAAGUGCAUGGGCUAUGUGGUAGAAAUGGGAUUUGUAUUUAUACACCAGAACCCAAGGGUUCAUGUCCUCCGGGCUAUGAAGUAAGUGACCCAAGUGACUGGAGCAAAGGUUGCAAGUCUAAGUUCAACCAAAGCUGUUCCCAAACACAGCAGGUAAAAUUUGUGGAGCUUCCCCAGACCGAUUACUAUGGGUUUGAUCUCAAUUACAGCCAAUCUGUUUCAAUGGAAGCUUGCAGGAAAAUCUGCUUGGACGAUUGCCUUUGCCAAGGAUUCGCCUACAGGCUAACAGGAGAAGGGAACUGUUACGCAAAAAGUACCCUUUUCAAUGGCUACAAGUCCUCCAACUUCCCUGGGAGUUUAUAUUUAAAACUGCCUGUGGAUGUCGAAACGUCAGCACCCACUGUCCUUAAUGGUUCUGAUCUCAUAUGCGAGUCCAAGGAGGUUGAGGUUGUGCACAGUUCUUCUGUGUAUGACACUGCCAGUAAAAAGAUGAGAUGGGUUUAUCUCUACUCAUUUGCUUCUGCCAUUGGUGCCAUAGUAGUUCUCUUUAUUGUGUCAGGUUGGUGGUUUCUUUUCAGGGUACAUAAUGUGCCAUCUUCAGCUGAAGAUGGAUAUGGUCCGAUAUCAAGCCCGUUCAGGAGAUUUAGCUACACCGAACUCAAGAAGGCAACCAACAAUUUCAAAGUGGAGCUUGGAAGAGGAGGCUUUGGGGCUGUUUAUAAGGGUGUUUUGGUGGAUGAAAGGGCAGUAGCAGUGAAGAAAUUGGGAGAUUCCACUCAAGGGGAAGGGGAGUUUUGGGCUGAAGUAAGCACAAUCGGAAAAAUCUAUCACAUGAACCUAGUCAGAAUGUGGGGAUUCUGUUCAGAGGGUAGACACAGACUUGUAGUCUACGAGCAUGUAGAAAAUCUGUCACUGGAUAAGC
rnacentral:lncRNA from 1 species